GAAUAGCCUCGGGAAACUGAGAGUAAUACCGUAUAAGCCCUUCGGGGGAAAGAUUUAUCGGGAAAGGAUUGGCCCGCGUUAGAUUAGAUAGUUGGUGGGGUAAUGGCCUACCAAGUCUACGAUCUAUAGCUGGUUUUAGAGGAUGAUCAGCAACACUGGGACUGAGACACGGCCCAGACUCCUACGGGAGGCAGCAGUGGGGAAUCUUAGACAAUGGGCGCAAGCCUGAUCUAGCCAUGCCGCGUGUGUGAUNNANGUCUUAGGAUC
rnacentral:rRNA from 1 species